UACGUAGGGGGCAAGCGUUGUCCGGAUCUAUUGGGCGUAAAGAGCGUGUAGGCGGCCUGAAAGGUCAGCUGUGAAAACUCGAGGCUCAACCUCGAGACGUCGGUUGAAACCAUCUGGCUAGAGUCCGGAAGAGGAGUGUGGAAUUCCCGGUGUAGCGGUGAAAUGCGCAGAUAUCGGGAAGAACACCCGUGGCGAAGGCGGCACUCUGGGACGGUACUGACGCUGAGACGCGAAAGCGUGGGGAGCGAACAGG
rnacentral:rRNA from 1 species